rnacentral:piRNA from 1 species
UAUCCAGGUUUAAAGACUAUGAUACUAGC